rfam:Oryza glumipatula chromosome 5, whole genome shotgun sequence.
AAUAAGUACAGUUUUGCCGACGUUCAUGUCCAACGUUUAACCGUUUAUCUUAUUUAAAUUUUUUUAUGAUUAAUACUUUUCUUGUUAUUAGAUGAUAAAAUAUAAAUAAUACUUUAUGUGUGACUAUUUGUUUUUAAUUUUUUUUAUAAACUUUUAAAUAAGACGGAUGGUUAAAUGUUAGAUACAGAUAUCCACAGCUGCACUUAUU